rnacentral:misc_RNA from 1 species
GAUGAAGAACGCAGCGAAAUGCGAUAAGUAAUGUGAAUUGCAGAAUUCAGUGAAUCAUCGAAUCUUUGAACGCACAUUGCGCCCGCCAGCAUUCUGGCGGGCAUGCCUGUUCGAGCGUCAUUUCAACCCUCGAGCCCCCCCGGGGGCCUCGGUGUUGGGGGACGGCACACCAACCGCCCCCGAAAUGCAGUGGCGACCCCGCCGCAGCCUCCCCUGCGUAGUAGCACACACCUCGCACCGGAGCGCGGAGGCGGUCACGCCGUAAAACGCCCAACUUUCUUAGAGUUGACCUCGGAUCAGGUAGGAAUACCCGCUGAACUUAAGCAUAUAAUAAGCGGAGGA